CACGGUCGCUCACACGAGGAUCCGCCCGCCACGCCUCUCUCCACCCCACCCGCCUGUCAUCCCCGACACAAGAGAUCUAUCCAACGACUAGCUGUUCGAUGAAGCAAGGCAUCCAGCCGAUGCGGCCGAUCUUGGAGGCGAUGGCCAGGCAGUGCAUGGUUUUUGGUGUGCGGCGGGGUCGAACUCCCCCUCGCGCUCCAUCCCGGUGUCAGCCCCUCACCUCAGUCGCCCGCGACGUCGUGCGACCACCUCCAAGAACUGGGGUGGUACACCAUUGAGGCGCAAAUCUCUGCCUCUCCUCCCUCUAUCUUGUAGGUGCUUGAGGUGAUCCACCUCGACCAUGCCAAUGUCUCCAAGGCGGAGUUGAAGGAGAGGCUUGCCAAGAUGUACAAGGUGAAGGACCCCAACACCAUCUUUGUCUUCAAGUUCCGCACCAGUUCCACUGGCUCUGGCCUCAUCUACGACAACCUCUACUCCAAGAAGUUCGAGCCCAAAUACUGCCUCAUGAGGGUAUGUUGUCGUCUAGCCCUUCCUUCUGUUGCAUGCAGAUACAAUGUUUUGAUAGUUCGGUAG